GAACAAAGGCAAUCAUGUCGGGAGCGCGGGGCCGGGUCAGGGGCCGCUGCCGCAGGACAGUAGUUUAAGAUCAUUUAACUCCGCGGAGCUGCUUUCUCUCUGCGGCACAGCGGCAACGGAUCGUCCAUUAUUUAUGACGUGAAGCAGCUCAGCGAUUGAAAGAAGCAGAGGAGCUCAGGAACUUACUUUUCAAUCACCAACUGGAGCUCAGACUUCUUGGACCGGUUGUUAGCAUUUUGCUAGCCUAGCAGACAGCUAGCAGCUACAGCCGCCUGUGUCAAAGAGGCCACGCCCCUAACAAUACAAACUUCCAGCCUUACACAAUUUAAACAGCCUGACGCAAACUAACGUCCAUGACCACAUGCGAAGCCAGCAUUUCCGUCUUGCCCUCCUGACGUCCAGCCUUCCUGGGCUUCAGUGAGAGAAGCGCAGACCUGAGGUCUCAGAGCUGCGCGGAGCCCUGCAGCCUCCCAGAUUUAUUUCAGCCGAGCAGCUCGGGGCGGUGCCGCCGGCGUUACGAUGACCCCAUACAUCACGCCUCGUGUGAGCACAUAUUAAGUGCUUUUCUCAUCAUCCCCCCCGCCCAUUAAAAGUAAAUAAUCCGUUAAGGAGCGGUCCAAUUCCUCAUACGUGACAGGUAUCUGUUUGUACAGAGCCAGGAAGGUGUGCGAGGAGAGUGAGGAGGAGGAGGAGCGCUGGCGUGAGAGGACUCUGAUUACCUCGCUGUAGCUGCUAAAGUCAGAUGUACGCCCGCUGUGUGACCCCGGCGUUUACAUAAAGCUGCAAAGAAUGGAAGCGUAUGAGAAGUUAGAUUCACUGCCGCUGUGAGCGCACAGGAAAAAAGGUAGACGCUCGGCGUUCACUUCAUUAACGCACAUUUCCUAAUGAGCGCGAGCUCAGGGAAACCAAUCAGUAAUUAAGUCCCGCC
ensembl:lncRNA